rnacentral:tRNA from 1 species
AGGAUUAUAUUUAAUUAUAAUAUUUAAUUUGCAAUUAAAGGGUACCUAAGGGUUAAUCUUU